rnacentral:piRNA from 1 species
UGCUUGGACCUAGUUGGUGUUUGUGUUCUG